ACAUGAUAAACCUCGUCUCUACUAAAAAUACAAACAUUAGCUGGACAUGGUGCCACGUGCCUGUAAUCCCAGCUACUGGGAAGGGAAGGUUGAGGCAGGAGAAUCACUUGAACCCAGGAGGCAGAGGUUACAGUGAGCUGAGCAUCUGGGCAACAGAGUGAGAUUCCAUCUCCAAAAAAAAAAGGGGGUUUCAAGACAUGCCACUGUAGGUUAUGCAGGGAAGAGAUGAGAGAUUCAGGACCAUCAGGACAGACAACCAUAUUGCUCCAUUCCCCACCCCACAUACACCCUGACUCUCUUCAUCAGGGCCAGGGGCCACCUGGUCUUACAGUGGUUCCAUAUCCAUUGUUCAUGAUCCCAGCUUCCACUGAGGGUUCAUCCAGGUGGGCCCCAAGGGGCCUAGAUGUUAAUCCCUGUCAAUCACAUUUUCCACUGCAGGUUCAACUCCAUAUACAAAGAGAACAGCAAGAAAGUGUUUCAAAAGAGGCCAUUCACUAGUGGGCGGCAUUUUACAGUCUAUGUGGUAACGUGGACUGGUUGGGGGGUGCUUCCAUUUCACCCCCCUCAGGGCUCAUAGGUGUUAGGGGACCUGCUAAAGGUCACCCUGGAGUAACUGUCAGAGCCACAGUCUACAGGAUGGCCUCCUUACCCAGUGCUUUGGAUGUCUGCAGCUGUUUUGAAACUUCAUGCAAACCGGUGGGUGCUGCAGAAUUGGCCUCUUCCAGCCACAGCAGUAAUCCUGUUACGUUCUCUCUGUGAGUCUGGGAAACAUACAGACACUGGUUGAAACUUCAGCUUUGUCAUUUACCAGCUGUGCUAUCACAGGCUGGUCUGAAACUCCUGGGCUCAAGCAGUUCUCCCACAUUGGCUUCCCAAAGUGCUGGGAUUACAGGUCUGAACCACCGAACCGGGCCACAGAGUGGCAAUGUGGUUGGCAUGACCCAGUCACAGCACCCCGGGACUCUUGUCCAGCAUUGGCGCUCUAUAUGCAGAGCCCUUUCACUCAGCCUGGCAGCAUCUGAUCAGCGUCGAAGCCCAGUGGCUUGAGGAAUAAAUAUAAACAGUGCAGAGACUAAAAGCAGAGCUCUGGUCCAGCACAUCUACUCCCAAGCUCUGCCACCCUGGACAAGCUCCUUCCCCUCUCUGAGCCUCAGUCUCCUCCCUGUAAUACUGUAAGAACCCUGUCCACAGUUGUGUGCCGAUAUACUGAAUGUAAAGCACCUAAAAGCCUGCCAGGACGUGGCAGGCACUCAAGAAGCAUUACUAGAUUCAUUUCACACAUGGAGAAACUGAGUCCCAGAGUGGGAAAGUGACUCAGGCAAAGAUUCCCUCACAGAACUGGGGAUAAAAAUCCAGAUCUUCAAGCUCCCAGUCAGUGCCUAAUUACUACUUUCUCAUUCUUGGAAUUUGUAAUUAUUUCAUGACAAGUGUGCUUUUGGCUGCUGGAGGGACAGAGCUUCAGAGGUUGUGAGCCUCCCCUGGCUCAGCCUGACCCAGAACCAGCUCACUCAUGAAACUACCCUCUCUUGAAGAGAAUAGGAGUUGUGGGGAGGAAGAACAUAACCCAGAGGCCAGAGAACGUGGAGGCCAGGGUUGGUGUAACUGUGUAGGUAAGAGCAGCAGCUUCGUGAUCAGCCAGACCUGCAUUUAAAUCCUUCUCUGCCACUUCUUAGCUGUGUGACCAGCUACAUGACACCACCUCCCUGAGCCUCAGGUUUUCAUCUGUAAACUUUCAAUGCUACCUCUCCCAUAGGGUUGUUGUAGGAAUUAAAUAAGACAACAGAGGUAGAGUACCUGCUCCCAACUGGCAGCCCUUAUAAUUUCAUGAAGAGGAAGCAAAAGGGGAGCCAGCUACCUUUUUUUUUUUUUUUUUGAGACAGAGCCUCUUUCUGUCACUCAGGCUGGAGGGUGGUAGUGUGAUCUCGGCUUGCUGCAACCUCUGCCUCCUGGGUUCCAGCGAUUCUUGUGCUUCAGCCUCCUGAAUAGCUGGGAUUACAGGUGGACACCACCAUGCCAGGCUAAUUUUUGUAUUUUUAGUAGAGACGGGGUUUCACCAUGUUGGCCAGGCUGGUCUUGAACUCCUGACCUCAAGUGAUCCACCUGCCUCGGCCUCCCAAAGUGCUGGGAUUAUGGGUGUGAGCCACCGUGCCUGGCCGGAGCCAGCUACUUCUUAUCCUCAUUCUUGUGUAUAAAUCUUGUUGUAAACUUUUAAACAAUUUUUUGUUUUAUUUUUAUUGUUUAUAUUUGAGACAGGGUCUCUCUCUGUCAUCCAGGCUAGAAUGCAGUGGCAUGAUCACAACUCACUGUGACCUCGGCCUUCCAGGCUCAAGUGAUCCUCCCACCUCAGCCUCCCAAGUAGCUGGGACUACAGGUACCCAUCAUCACACCUGGCUAAUUUUUAUAUUUUUAAUGGAGACAAGGUUUUGCCAUAUUGCCCAGGCUGGUCUCUAACUCCUGGGCUGAAGCAAUCCACUUGCCUUGGCCUCCCAAAGUGCUAGGAUUACAGGUAUGAGCCACCUCACCCGUCCUUGUAAACUUUUUUUUUUUUUGAGGUGGUGUCUUGCUCUGUCGUCCAGGCUGAAGUGCAGUGGCGCGAUCUCGGCUCACUGCAACCUCCACCUCUGAGGUUCAAGCAAUUCUCCUGCCUCAGCCUCCCAAGUAGCUGGGAUUACAGGCACCCAUCACCAUGAUUUGUAUUUUUAGUAGAGAUGGGGUUUUGUAUUUUUAAUAGAGACAGGGUUUCUCCAUGUUGUCCAGGCUGGUCUUGAACUCCUGACCUCAAGUGAUCCACCCACCUUGGUCUCCCAAAGUGCUGGGAUUACAGGAGUAUGAGCCACUGCGCCUGACCCUUGUUACAAACUUUUAAUUGAACAAACAAUGGAUAAUAGAGAUGUUCUAAGAUUUGUCUAAUGAAAUGCUUUGUGUUCCCAGGCUCUUCCACAUACUAGCUGUGUGAACUUGGACAAGUGACUUAACUUCUCUUCUCCGUGUCUGCUAACAGUCCCUACACAGAUGGUUGUUGUGAGGCUUAGUUACCAUACAAAAUUCUUAGAUUAGUGCCUGGCACAUAAUAAUAACCACAGCCCCCAAAUGCUAGUUGUCAUUCAUUAUCUUAACAUACCAUGUGAAGGUUGUGUUCUCUUACAUUCUAUAGCCCUCUGUGUUUUAAUAUAAAAUUGUGAUGUCUCUCUUUCUUUUAUUUGUAUUUUUUGAGUAAAACGGACAUUUCAGAAAGAUGUACCAGAUUUUUAUCACAUGGCUUUGUGAGACCCGACAGCCAGCCAACAUCACACACAGUCACAUGUGUGCAUGCAUGAGCACACAUGCAUGCAGACACACACACUUUGAGAAGGCCAUGCUACGCCGGGCUGCUUCCCAAAUGGGCUGAAACAAGUCCUCUUGCCCUGAAGAACCGCCUGUCCCCUCUCCCGCCCACUCAUCGCGCUCCGUGGAGUGAGGCAGGAAAGGGUGAUUGGCUCACAGCAGCAGCAUAGCUCUUAGUAAACCUGACUUGGGAGAAAGGCCUGGCUCCAGCUCCUAGCCCAAGUGUCAGAGCCUGGGUCCCAGCACUGGCUCGAUGCCCUCUUUUGCUGUGCAACCCUGGCCAUGUAACUUCACCUCUCUGAGCCCCAGCUUUGUCAUUUGUGAAAGGGAGCUAACUGUUCCUACCUCUCAGGGUUAUGAGGAUUUGACAGACACAUGGAAAGUGCCUGGCACUUCGUUGUUGCUCCAUAAAUGAGAGCUCUCAAAAGUCUGGCUCAUUUUUUAGCUCAGUAAAAGCUAUCUUUCAUAGUCUUUAAUAAAAUGGGGCUGGCCGGGCGUGGUGGCUCACGCCUGUAAUCCCAGCACUUUGGGAGGCUGAGGUGGGUGGAUCACGAGGUCAGGAGAUCGAGACCAUCCUGGAUAACAUGGUGAAACCCCAUCUCUACUAAAAAAAAUACAAAAAAAUUAGCCGGGUGUGGUGGCAGGCGCCUGUAGUCCCAGCUACUCAGGAAGCUGAAGCAGGAGAAUGGCGUGAGCCCAGGAGGCG
rnacentral:lncRNA from 10 species